rnacentral:ncRNA from 1 species
AGCCAUCUCUCUGGAGAGUCCUUGUAAUGUGGCAAGGCGCCGAAGGGUUAAGGUUAUAAGAACCGAUAUCUCAGGCAAACGGACGGAGCUUAAAAA